GAUGAACGCUAGCGGCAGGCUUAACACAUGCAAGUCGAGGGGCAGCGCGGGGCGGCAACGUCCUGGCGGCGACCGGCGGAAGGGUGCGUAACGCGUGAGCGACAUGCCCGUUGCCCGGGGACAACCGGUGGAAACGCCGACUAAUCCCCGAUGGGACGGAGGCCCUCAUGGGUCUCUGUUGAAAGUUACGGCGGCGACGGAUUGGCUCGCGUCCGAUUAGCUUGUUGGCGGGGUAACGGCCCACCAAGGCUACGAUCGGUAGGGGUUCUGAGAGGAAGGUCCCCCACAAUGGAACUGAGACACGGUCCAUACUCCUACGGGAGGCAGCAGUGAGGAAUAUUGGUCAAUGGGCGGAAGCCUGAACCAGCCAUGCCGCGUGCGGGAAGGAGGCCCUAUGGGCUGUGAACCGCUUUUGCCUGGGGGCAAUAAGGGCGUCGCGCACGUCCGAUGAGAGUACCAGGGGAAUAAGCAUCGGCUAACUCCGUGCCAGCAGCCGCGGUAAUACGGGGGAUGCGAGCGUUAUCCGGAUUCAUUGGGUUUAAAGGGUGCGUAGGCUGUGCGUCAAGUCAGGGGUGAAAUUCCGGGGCUCAACUCCGGGGCUGCCCUUGAUACUGUCGCGCUGGAGUGCGGAUGCCGCCGGAGGAAUGAGUGGUGUAGCGGUGAAAUGCUUAGAUAUCACUCAGAACACCGAUUGCGAAGGCAUCUGGCGAAUCCGUAACUGACGCUGAGGCACGAAAGCGUGGGGAUAGAACAGGAUUAGAUACCCUGGUAUUCCACGCCGUAAACGAUGAUGGCUAACCGCCGGCGACAUACUGUCGGUGGCCAGGCGAAAGCGAUAAGCCAUCCACCUGGGGAGUACGUCGGCAACGAUGCAACUCAAAUGAAUUGACGG
rnacentral:rRNA from 1 species